GACGAACGCUGGCGGCGUGCUUAACACAUGCAAGUCGAACGGAAAGGCCCUGCUUUUGUGGGGUGCUCGAGUGGCGAACGGGUGAGUAACACGUGAGUAACCUGCCCUUGACUUUGGGAUAACUUCAGGCAACUGGGGCUAAUACCGGCUAGGCGCUCCUGCUGCAUGGUGGGGGUUGGAAAGUUUCGGCGGAUGGGGAUGGACUCGCGGCUUAUCAGCGUGUUCGUGGGGUAGUGGCUUACCAAGGCUGUGACGGGUAGCCGGCCUGAGAGGGUGACCGGCCACAUUGGGACUGAGAUACGGCCCAGACUCCUACGGGAGGCAGCAGUGGGGAAUAUUGCACAAUGGGCGGAAGCCUGAUGCAGCAACGCCGCGUGCGGGAUGACGGCCUUCUGGUUGUAGACCGCUUUCGCCUGUGACGAAGCGUGAGUGACGGUAAUGGGUAAAGAAGCACCGGCUAACUACGUG
rnacentral:rRNA from 1 species